AUUGAACGCUGGCGGCAGGCCUAACACAUGCAAGUCGAGCGGAGCGGCGGAAGGGUGCGUAAUGCCUAGGAAUCUGCCUGGUAGUGGGGGAUAACGUCCGGAAACGGGCGCUAAUACCGCAUACUAUCAGAUGAGCCUAGGUCGGAUUAGAUCGUUGGUGGGGUAAAGGCCUACCAAGGCGACUAGCCGGAACUGGUCUGAGAGGAUGAUCAGUCAAACGGGAACUGAGACACGGUCCAGAAUCCUACGGGAGGCAGCCGUGGGUAAUAUGGGACAAUGGGCUAAAGCCUGAUCCAGCCAUGCCGCGUGUGUGAAGAAGGUCUUCGGAUUGUAAAGCACUUUAAGUUGGGAGGCGUUACCAACAGAAUAAGCACCGGCUAACUUCGUGCCAGCCGCCGCGGUAAUUC
rnacentral:rRNA from 1 species